rnacentral:rRNA from 1 species
UCAAGUUAUUAAGGGUGCAGGGCGGAUGCCUUGGCACUAGGAGCCGAUGAAGGACGUGAUAAGCUGCGAUAAGCUUCGGGGAGUUGCACGUAAACUUUGAUCCGAAGAUUUCCGAAUGAGGAAACUCACUUAGAGUAAUGUCUAAGUAUCAUUAAGUGAAUACAUAGCUUAAUGAGGGGAACUCAGGGAACUGAAACAUCUAAGUACCUGAAGGAAGAGAAAGAAAUUCGAUUCCGUAAGUAGCGGCGAGCGAACGCGGAUUAGCCCAAACCAAUAAAGUUUUCUUUAUUGGGGUUGCGGACAUAUCAUAACGAAGAGGUAUCGUAAUUGAAGAGGUUUGGAAAGACCCACCACAGAAGGUAAUAGUCCUGUAUGUUAAACGAGAAGACUUCAGAUAUGAUCCAGAGUACCACGGGACACGUGAAACCCUGUGGGAAGCAGGAGGGACCACCCUCCAAGGCUAAAUACUACCUAGUGACCGAUAGCGUAUAGUACCGUGAGGGAAAGGUGAAAAGAACCCCGGGAGGGGAGUGAAAUAGAACCUGAAACCCUGCACUUACAAGCUGUGGAAGCACAUUUCUUGUGUGACCGCGUACUUUUUGUAGAACGGGCCAACGAGUUACGUUAAGUAGCAAGGUUAAGCACUUAAGGUGCGGAGCCGUAGCGAAAGCGAGUUUUAACUGAGCGUUCAGUUACUUGACGUAGACCCGAAACCGGGCGACCUACCCAUGAGCAGGAUGAAGCGAAAGUAAAAUUUCGUGGAGGUCCGAACCCACGAGCGUUGAAAAGCUCGGGGAUGACUUGUGGGUAGCGGUGAAAUUCCAAUCGAGCCCGGAGAUAGCUGGUUCUCCCCGAAAUAGCUUUAGGGCUAGCCUCAAGGUGAGAGAUACGGAGGUAGAGCACUGAAUGUCCUAGGGGGUAUUGCACCUACCGAAGACUAUCAAACUCCGAAUGCCGUCAUCUUAUACUUGGGAGUCAGACUGUGGGUGAUAAGAUUCAUAGUCGAAAGGGCAACAGCCCAGAUCGUCAGCUAAGGUCCCUAAAUGUAAGUUAAGUGGUAAAGGAUGUGGGAUUGCACAGACAACCAGGAUGUUGGCUUAGAAGCAGCCACUCAUUCAAAGAGUGCGUAAUAGCUCACUGGUCGAGUGAUCCUGCGCCGAAGAUUUCCGGGGCUAAAACUUACUACCGAAGCUACGGCAUCAGUAAUGAUGGGUAGGGGAGCUUCCCAUACGGGUUGAAGCAUGACCGUAAGGACAUGUGGACAGUAUGGGAGUGAGAAUGUUGGCAUGAGUAGCGAGAUGUGGGUGAGAAUCCCACAGGCCGUAAACCCAAGGUUUCCAGGGGAAGGUUCGUCCGCCCUGGGUUAGUCGGGACCUAAGCUGAGGCCGAAAGGCGUAGGUGAUGGACAACAGGUUGAUAUUCCUGUACUACCGAUAACCGUUUGAGAGAAGGGAUGACACAGUAGGAUAAGCUAAGCACACUGUUGGUUAUGUGUGCCCAAGCAUUGAGGCAGUCAAAGUAGGCAAAUCCGCUUUGAUAAUGCUGGGAUGUGAUGGGGAGCGAAAUUUAGUAGCGAAGUAGCUGAUUUCACACUGUCAAGAAAAGUCUCUAUCGAGGUUAAAGGUACCCGUACCGCAAACCGACACAGGUGGGUGAGGAGAGUAUCCUAAGGCCAGCGAGAGAACUGUUGUUAAGGAACUCGGCAAAAUGACCCCGUAACUUAGGGAUAAGGGGUGCCACCAUCAGGUGGCCGCAGAGAAUAGGCCCAAGCGACUGUUUACCAAAAACAUAGGUUUCUGCUAAGUCGCAAGACGAUGUAUAGGAGCUGACGCCUGCCCGGUGCUGGAAGGUUAAGGGGAUCUGUUAGAGCAAUCGAAGCAGUGAACUUAAGCCCCAGUAAACGGCGGCCGUAACUAUAACGGUCCUAAGGUAGCGAAAUUCCUUGUCGGGUAAGUUCCGACCCGCACGAAAGGCGUAACGAUUUGGGCACUGUCUCAACAACAGACUCGGUGAAAUUGUAAUUCCGGUGAAGAUGCCGGAUACCUGCGACAGGACGGAAAGACCCCAUGGAGCUUUACUGUAGCUUGACAUUGGGUCUUGGUACUACAUGUACAGGAUAGGUGGGAGGCUUUGAAACCAGGACGCCAGUUUUGGCGGAGCCAUCCUUGGGAUACCACCCUUGUAGUACUGGGACUCUAACCAUAGGCCAUGAAUCUGGUCUUGGGACACUGUCAGGUGGGCAGUUUGACUGGGGCGGUCGCCUCCCAAAAGGUAACGGAGGCGCUCAAAGGUUCUCUCAGUACGGUCGGAAAUCGUACGUAGAGUGUAAAGGCAAAAGAGAGCUUGAUUGCAAGACAUACAGGUCGAGCAAGGAUGAAAAUCGGACUUAGUGAUCCGGUGGUUCUGCGUGGAAGGGCCAUCGCUCAACGGAUAAAAGCUACCCUGGGGAUAACAGGCUUAUCUCCCCCAAGAGUCCACAUCGACGGGGAGGUUUGGCACCUCGAUGUCGGCUCAUCACAUCCUGGGGCUGUAGUAGGUCCCAAGGGUUGGGCUGUUCGCCCAUUAAAGUGGUACGCGAGCUGGGUUCAGAACGUCGUGAGACAGUUCGGUCCCUA